GACGAACGCUGGCGGCGUGCCUAAUACAUGCAAGUAGAACGCACAGUUUAUACCGUAGCUUGCUCCACCAUAGACUGUGAGUUGCGAACGGGUGAGUAACGCGUAGGUAACCUGCCUGGUAGCGGGGGAUAACUAUUGGAAACGAUAGCUAAUACCGCAUAAUAUUAAUUAUUGCAUGAUAAUUGGUUGAAAGAUGCAACUGCAUCACUACCAGAUGGACCUGCGUUGUAUUAGCUAGUAGGUGAGGUAACGGCUCACCUAGGCGACGAUACAUAGCCGACCUGAGAGGGUGAUCGGCCACACUGGGACUGAGACACGGCCCAGACUCCUACGGGAGGCAGCAGUAGGGAAUCUUCGGCAAUGGACGAAAGUCUGACCGAGCAACGCCGCGUGAGUGAAGAAGGUUGUCGGAUCGUAAAGCUCUGUUGUAAGAGAAGAACGGGUGUGAGAGUGGAAAGUUCACACUGUGACGGUAUCUUACCAGAAAGGGACGGCUAACUACGUG
rnacentral:rRNA from 1 species